CGGAUCGAGUUAGGCUGGCCAAAGCAAAGUCUCCUGCGCCGCUCUCACUCUCUCUCUACAAUCGUUAGCCAACACCAAAAGCUCCUCCUGGUUUCUCCCACAAACCAAGAGAAAAAGAAAAGCGAAUUUUUCAUAUUUUGCACGUAAAUAUUGCAAUACAUGCAUGUAAGAAUUACCUGAUACACAUAUCUCGCCUGUAGAUAUAUAUAUAUAUAUAUAUAUAUAUAUAUAUA